GUGUUUCACCAAUAAUGGAAUAGUAGUGGUGAGUGAGUGAUGAAUGAUGUGAUAAAAGGGGUGUGAGUUUGACAAAAAACAAAAGGGGUGUGAGAAAAUAAUGACACUCCUCAAUUAGGCACAUUCAUCAAAUUUUCAGAAAACCUUUUUCUUUUUUCUGCUGCUGUUUGUUUAUCUCUUCAAUUACAAGAUUAGAGAUCACUGUUGUGUGAUAUUUGCCUUGAAUUUAGUGUAGUGUAGAUAUAUCAAUAGAUCAAAGAAGUAGAGAAACUAUGGUGGAAGAAGCGCUUCCGAUGGAAUUAGAUAACCAGGUCGUUCCCGAUGCUCUUCCAUUUGCUAGAAGCUAUCAGGUUGAAGCGUUGAAUAAAGCAGUCCGGGAAAAUACCAUUGUGUUUUUGGAUACUGGUUCGGGCAAGACUUUGAUAGCUAUCAUGCUUCUUCGCAGCUAUGCAUAUAGACUGCGAAAGCCUUCUACUUCCGUUGCAGUGUUCUUGGUUCCCACAGUUGUGUUGGUUAGCCAACAAGCUAAAGCCUUGGAAGCUCACGCCGACUUAAAAGUGGGAAUGUAUUAUGGAGAUAUGGGUGUUGAUUUCUGGGAUGCUGCUACGUGGAAACAGCAAAUCGAGAAACAAGAGGUGCUUGUCAUGACGCCUCAAAUAUUACUUGAUUGCUUGAGGCAUAGCUUUAUUAAGCUACAAAUGAUCAAGGUUUUGAUACUUGAUGAAUGCCACCAUACAAAGGGCAGACACCCCUAUUCACGCAUAAUGACAGAAUUUUAUCAUCACCAAUUACAAUCUGGUAUAUCUGACCUCCCUCGAAUUUUUGGGAUGACUGCAUCUCCAGUUAAGUCGAAAGCUGGAAAUUCUGAGUUGACCAUGUCAAAAUAUAUUCGGGAUUUAAUGACUCUAAUGCACUCAAAGGUUUAUACAUAUACAAGUGAAGCUGUUAUCAGGGAGUUCAUGCCAAUCUCAACCCCAAAAUUCAAGUUUUAUGAGGCAAAUGCACUUGGAAUUGUGUUUGAAGAAUUAGCAAUUAAACUCAAGAAGUUAAAAGAGAAGCAUGAACUAUUCCUUAGAAGUACAGAUUUCACAAAAUCAGCUACCGAGUAUGCAGAAAAAAGAAUAACAAAGUUCUUUUGUUCUUUGAUGUAUUGCUUGGAGGAUCUUGGUGUUUGGCUGGCUUUCAAGGCUGCAGAGUCCUUAUCUUCCAAUGAAACUGGACCUCUUUCAUGUGGUAACUCUGCAAAUAAAACUGUUAAAAUGUUUUGUUUGGCUACUGUUCAGGAACUGAAAACGUACUUACUAUCUGGUCCUCAGCAAUCUAUUAGUGACAAUAUGAAACAUGAUGUGGAAACGGGGCUGUUAACCUCCAAAGUUUUCUGUCUUAUUGACACUCUACUUGAGUACAGGGAUUUGACUGACCUGAGAUGCAUAGUUUUUGUGGAAAGGGUCAUUACAGCCAUUGUCCUUCCGACUUUGUUAAAUGCGGUGCUUCCAAAAUACAAUAGCUGGAAGACCAAGUUCGUUGCAGGAAAUAAUUGUGGAUUGCAAAGUCAAUCCAAGAAAGUGCAUGAUGGAAUUGUGGACGAUUUUCGUAAGGGAUUGGUCAACAUCAUUGUUGCAACAUCAAUUCUUGAAGAGGGUAUAGAUGUUAAAAGUUGCAAUUUGGUUAUUAGAUUCGACCCAUGUCACAAUGUGUGCAGUUUCAUACAAUCCCGUGGCCGUGCAAGAAUGCCCCAUUCAGAUUACAUAUUAAUGGUUCAGAGUGGGGAUUCAGUUACAUGUUCAAGACUUGAGAAAUACCUUUCUAGUGGGGAUAUUAUGAGGAAGGAAUCCUUGCGUCACUCUUCACUUCCAUGUGAUCCUUUAGAAAGUGAUCUAUUCCAUGAGGAAACUUAUCGUGUUGAAAGCACUGGAGCCAUUGUCAAUCUUAUUUCUAGCAUCGGUUUAUUACACCUGUAUUGCUCACGGCUCCCUGCAGAUGGGUACUUUAAACCAACUCCAAGGUGGGACAAAGAUACUGGAACAUUGUAUCUUCCUAAGAGCUGCCCUCUACCGGCUAUUUCUGUACAAGGUGACCGAAAGAUGUUAAAGAAUAUUGCAUGCCUUGAAGCAUGCAAACAACUUCAUAAGAUCGGAGCUUUAACAGAUAAGCUUGUUCCUGAUAUUGUUGUUGAAGAACAAGAGGUGGAGGAAUUUGGGAGUGAACCUUACGAUGAGAAACAACCAAGUUAUGUACCACGGGAAUUAGUGAAUCAGGUCUUGAAACACGGUGAAACAACCUACCAUUGUUAUUUGAUAGAGUUAAAACAAAAUUUUAGCUAUGAUAUCACUGUUCAAGACAUCUAUCUUGCAACGAGAGUUGAGCUCAAUCGAGAAAUUGCAAGCAUGCAAUUUGAUAUGGGUUUUGACAAAGGUUCCUUGUCAGUAAGCUUCAUACACAAAGGAGCCAUUCAUCUUUCCCCAGAUAUGGUAUCUUUAUGUAAAAGAUUCCAGGUUACUAUCCUUAGAAUUCUUCUCGAUCAUAAUAUGGAUAGGUUGCAAACUGCUUUAGAAAAGUGUUGUUUGGAAGAUGGUCUUGAGAUUGAUUAUCUUCUGCUUCCAAGUAUGGUUAAUGAGCAAGGACCAACUAUGAUCGGCUUACUGUUAAUUCGGUAAAUUCAUCUAAGAUUGUAUGUCAGGAUCACACACCCAAUAUACGAACCAAAGAGGGUCUAGUUUGCCGUUGCAUAAUACAAAAUUCUUUGGUUUGUACUCCUCAUAAUGGUUAUAUUUAUAUCACCACUGGUAUGAUGAAUUUGGAUGGAAACUCUCCUCUAAAACUUAAGAGUGGUGAAGUAAUUACGUACAAGAACUACUUUAAAAAGAAUCAUGGCACACAAUUGUAUUUUGAACAUCAAUGGCUACUUAAGGCAAAACGCAUUUUUCAAGUUAAAAAUUACUGUCAUGGACCCAGACAAGAGAAGGAUAGAGAAGCAAGCAAGACAUUUGUUGAAUUGCCUCCUGAACUAUGCUGUGUAAUCAUGUCACCAAUAUCAGACAUUACCAUUUAUUCCUUCUCAUUUAUCCCUUCCAUCAUGCAUAGACUUGAGUCUUUGCUUGUUGCUGUCAACCUAAAGAUGCAUAUGGGUAGUCGCUGGUUGAAUGAAAUUCACGCACGCAAGGUCCUGGAAGCAAUUACCACGAAAAGAUGUAAGGAGACCUUCCAUUACGAGUCUCUAGAGACUCUUGGAGAUUCUUUUUUAAAAUAUGCUGUCACUCAACAUCUUUUUCAGGCAUAUCAAAAUCACCAUGAAGGUCUCCUUACUCUGAAGAGGGUCAAGAUCAUUUCUAAUGCUGCGCUCUGUAAGUUAGGGUGCAGCUGUGGACUUCCGGGCUUCAUACGAAAUGAGCCUUUUGAUCCUAAUACUUGGAUUGUUCCUGGUGAUAAAUCUGGAGGUUUGAAAUUGAAAGAGUUGGUUUCCGAUGGGACUAAAGUUUAUUUUAGUGGAAUGAGAAAUUUAAAACGGAAGAUUAUUGCUGAUGUUGUUGAGGCACUUAUUGGUGCCUUCCUUAUCAGCGGUGGUGAAAAUGCUGCCCUGUUGUUUAUGGAUUGGGUUGGUAUUAAAGUUUGUUUUGAUAUCAUACCCUAUGAGAGGCACUUUAGCACCUGUGUGGAGAAGCUAGUGCACAUCAGCCUGCUAGAAUCCAAAUUAAAAUACUCAUUCCGUGAUAGUUCUCUUUUGGUAGAAGCUCUAACACAUGGUUCAUACAUGUUGCCGGAGGUGCCUACAUGUUAUCAGCGACUAGAGUUUCUUGGAGACUCAAUAUUGGAUUAUCUCAUUACUGUGCAUAUGUAUGAGAAAUAUCCUGGAAUGUCACCCGGGCAGUUAACUGACAUGAGGGCAGCAUCUGUAAAUAACGACUGUUAUGCAUGGUCAGCCAUUAAGGCUGGCUUGCAUAAACACAUACUCCAUGUGUCACAGGAUCUACAUAAGCAUAUCACGGAGGCCCUCGAGAAUUUUUACAGGUUGUCGUCAUCAUCAACUUUUGGAUGGGACAUAGACAUGGAGACACCAUUCCCUAAGGUACUUGGCGACAUUAUAGAGUCUCUGGCUGGAGCAAUUCUUGUUGAUUCAGGAUACAAUAAGGAGGCUGUGUGGCAAAGUAUAAGACCUCUUUUGGAACCCCUUGUGACACCUGAAACAUUCAAGCUCCAUCCCGUCGCAGAGUUGCAUAUACUAUGCCAGAGAAGAAAUUAUACUAUGAAUAAAAAAUUGUACCGUGAAGAUGGCGGUGUUCUUAAUUGUAUAAUAAAAGUAGAAACUGAUGAUGGGGUCAUUCACCAGCACAAGUACAGGGGUCCUGCUGAUAGAAAAACAGCCCAGAAGCUAGCCUCCAAGGAAAUUUUGAAGAGCUUGAAGCAGUAAACAUACCUCAGGACUCAAGUGAUGUUUACAUGCCUUGUAUGUGUAUAUUCUUUGAGCAAUUGUAACUGGGCUUAUAGUUAUAGAUGAUAAAUAACUAGACUGUAAAAUAUUUGUAAAGAAAAUGAAGAUGUAAUGAUUUUAUACAUAUGGAAAUCGUAAGAAGAACUAAAUUUGUUUAA